UUUCCGUAGGUGAACCUGCGGAAGGAUCAUUACUGAGUAAGGGCCCUCUGGGUCCUACCUCCCUCCCGUGUCUGUUGUACCUUGUUGCUUCGGUGAGCCCGCCUCACGGCCGCCGGGGGGCAUCUGCCCCCGGGCCCGCGCUCGCCGGAGACACCCUUGAACUCUGUCUGAAGUUUGCAGUCUGAGCGAAAACUAAAUAAGUUAAAACUUUCAACAACGGAUCUCUUGGUUCCG
rnacentral:misc_RNA from 1 species